rnacentral:lncRNA from 1 species
CUACUAGCUUCCUGUUUGAUUCUUAUUUUCUCUCUUCCCCCUAUCAGCUAUGGCUUUUCUUCUCUUUCAGCCUUCUUUCCUUCAUAUUUCACAGAAUCCAGAGGUGGUGACAGCUGUCCUUCAUUCAGAAUAGAUGUCAAAAGCAGUGAAGUUCUUUUUGGAAAAAAGAACGUUUAUUUGAGUCACAGUCUUCCACUUGCCCAAAUUCCACAUCUGCCUCUAAAGAAGCCUGCCCAGUCCUGUGUAUUAUGUACCAGACAGCCAUUCUGAUCAUUGAGUCAAAUAUGUAGAGGCCUCAGCACUACUAUAGUACAUAGCGGCUCCCCUGUAAGUGACAGCAUUCCUCUGCAAAGCUGGCACUUCAGCAAGGACGUGCUAGGUACAUGACCCAGCUCAGGAGGUACGUAUUGUCCUACAUAAAGUGCC